rnacentral:misc_RNA from 1 species
GAUGAAGAACGUAGCGAAAUGCGAUACUUGGUGUGAAUUGCAGAAUCCCGUGAAUCAUCGAGUCUUUGAACGCACAUUGCGCCCCCUGGUAUUCCGGGGGGCAUGCCUGUCCGAGCGUCAUUGCUGCCCUCAAGCCCGGCUUGUGUGUUGGGUCUCGUCCCCCUUCCCGGGGGGACGGGCCCGAAAGGCAGCGGCGGCACCGCGUCCGGUCCUCGAGCGUAUGGGGCUUUGUCACCCGCUCUGUAGGCCCGGCCGGCGCUUGCCGAUCAACCAAAACUUUUUUCCAGGUUGACCUCGGAUCAGGUAGGGAUACCCGCUGAACUUAAGCAUAUCAAUAAGCGGAGGA